rnacentral:rRNA from 1 species
GUAGUCUGCAACUCGACUACAUGAAGCUGGAAUCGCUAGUAAUCGCGGAUCAGAAUGCCGCGGUGAAUACGUUCCCGGGUCUUGUACACACCGCCCGUCACACCAUGGGAGUCGGGAAUGCCCGAAGCCAGUGACCCAAGCGAGAGCAGGGAGCUGUCGAAGGCAGGCCGGAUAACUGGGGUGAAGUCGUAACAAGGUAUC